AUGCACGCUGGCGGCGUGCCUCAUCCCUGCAAGUCGCGCGCACGGACGAGAAGCUUGCUUCUCUGAUGUUAGCGGCGGACGGGUUAGUAACACGUGGAUAACCUACCUAUAAGACUGGGAUAACUUCGGGAAACCGGAGCUAAUACCGGAUGAUAUUUUUAACCGCCUGGUUCAAAAGUGAAAGACGGUCUUUCUGUCACUUAUAGAUGGAUCCGCGCUGCAUUAGCUAGUUGGUAAGGUAACGGCUUACAAAGGCAACGAUGCAUAGCCGACCUGAGAGGGUGAUCGGCCACAAUGGAACUGAGACACGGUCCAGACUACUACGGGAGGCAGCAGUAGGGAAUAUUCCGCAAUGGGCGAAAGCCUGACGGAGCAACGCCGCGUGAGUGAUGAAGGUCUUCGGAUCGUAAAACUCUGUUAUUAGGGAAGAACAUAUGUGUAAGUAACUGUGCACAUCUUGACGGUACCUAAUCAGAAAGCCACGGCUAACUACGUG
rnacentral:rRNA from 1 species